rnacentral:rRNA from 1 species
CGCUGGCGGCGUGCCUAAUACAUGCAAGUCGAACGGUCUUUCUAUGGAAGCUUGCUUCCACUGAGAAGAUAGUGGCGAACGGGUGAGUAACACGUGGGUAACCUGCCCAUAAGAGGGGGAUAACAUCCGGAAACGGGUGCUAAUACCGCAUAGUUUUCUUGAUCGCAUGAUCGGGAAAGGAAAGACGGCCUUUGUGCUGUCGCUUAUGGAUGGACCCGCGGCGUAUUAGUUAGUUGGUGAGGUAACGGCUCACCAAGACGAUGAUACGUAGCCGACCUGAGAGGGUGAUCGGCCACAUUGGGACUGAGACACGGCCCAAACUCCUACGGGAGGCAGCAGUAGGGAAUCUUCCGCAAUGGACGAAAGUCUGACGGAGCAACGCCGCGUGAGUGAAGAAAAGGUUUUCGGAUCGUAAAACUCUGUUGUCAGAGAAGAACAAGUUGGAGAGUAACUGCUCCAGCCUUGACGGUAUCUGACCAGAAAGCCACGGCUAACUACGUGCCAGCAGCCGC